rnacentral:lncRNA from 1 species
GGCGUUCUACAGGCAACUCCGGCGAGAGAGAGAGCGAUAUUUCCGGCGAUCUUGCACCAUUUCCGGCUAGGAAACACUUUCAAACCCGUAAGUUUCAGUACCCAUUUAGACUAAAAAUUUCUUAACGAAUGGCCUCGGAAGGGAGUUCUGGUAUGGGUAGGAGUUUAGAGAUUGUGAGGGUGGACGAGCCCAUUGUGGCGACCUCCUCAGAAAUAGCUGGGGCCAUAAUGGGAGGGGAAAACAUGUGGAAGCGACCAGAUAGCCCUCCGGAUACUUCUGUGCACUGGGGGGCAUCGGACUACCCAUCAAAGUUGAGGGAGGCCGACCUUGGUAGACUUAGGACGGAAUAUAGGAUCCCGGACAGUGUGGACCUGAUUCUCCCAGGGCCAGAAGAGAGGGCUUGUUACCCAAGGCCGGGCUGCGUAGCCAUUAGCGAGGCGAUCCUUAGGGCCGGACUUAGGCUGCCUAUUCACCCGUUCUUUAGGUUGGUGCUUAGGUCUUACGGGCUAGCCCCGACGCAGCUCAAUCCGAACUCCUGGAGCCAGAUGGUGGGCUCCUGGAUGUUGUGGAAAGAGGCGUCGUUAGGAGUGGAGAUGCCCCUUUCCGUUUUCCAAACUCUUUACAUACCCAAGGUUACUGCCGGGGGGGAUAAGACCCGGGGCUGGUACUACCUGACGUCAUGGGGUUCCCACACUCCAUUUGUGAUCGAUCUGCCGAGCUCCAUCAAGGAAUGGAAGAGCUCUUGGUGCUGGGCAGCGGGGCGAUGGGACACAAUGGAGGGGGACCCCCUGGCGCCUCUUACAGUCCCGGCGAAGUUUUCAACACUUAGUGAGUAUAGUAGUUGAUAUUUUAUUUCUCUUCGGUCGGGCUUGUGUUUAACAGAUGUUUCUUUUCGCAGGUUCCCUCCCUCGGUGCGAGCUGUCGACAGAGGACUUCGACAUUAUUUGCGUUAUUUAUCAACUGCCUCAGAAGAAGAGGUCAUAUCACAGGCUCAUUCGGAAAAACAUACACUUCGUCACUCACGACUUAAUGGCGUCCCAAGGUAAUAGGACCGAAGCCCACACUCUUUUAACCUGAACUCCCUAUACUUAUAAUUCCUCACUCGUUUCUUUGCAGAUAACUUCAACAAGAAGCUGCCAGUACGCCCUGACUUCAAAACUAUUCAGAAAAUGAUGGCUGAAGCAAGGGCACUGAAGGCCUCCUCUUCUUCAUAUAAGAAACAAAUGGAGGAGCUGGUGGAGGCCAGUAAGAGACUUCAGCCUCCGACGGAGGAGGAGGUUCAGGAGGAUCCGGAGGCCGACCUCCGAAGGAAGGGCAAGAAAAGUGCUGCCCCUCCCAGACGCCCAACUGUGGCGAGGCCACCCCCAGUUAUGCGGCAGACAACUAUUCCCACGGGGGUGGCCCUCCCAGAGAGAAAUCCCACUGCUACGGAGCCUGUCGCUGCCCCGGACGCGGCGCCCCUCGCGGCUGUUCCUAUUGAACAUGUUCCGGGGCAGCAGAGGAGAAAAAGGGCUCGCUCCAGCAAAGAGGUUGACUUCCUCGGCACCAGUUCAGAAGAGCCAGUAAGGGAGGUGCUGGAGGCUCUCCCUCCAGAAACAGCUGCGGUGGCGGUGGUCCACAGCAAGUAUUGGACCGAAGAGUGGAGGGACCACACCGCCUCCUGUACUGCCGAAGACUUGGUGGCGGCGAACAGCGCCUGCGUGGCCCGGGCACUAAGCACGAGUAUCCAACUCGAGGGCUUGGUGAAGGAUCUAAACUCCAAGAGGGAGGACCUCGCCAAGCGCCUCGAGGAGGCAAUGCAUUACGGGGACGCUGUGCGAGCUGCCCGGGCCAAAGCUGCCAAGGCAGAGGAGGAAAAAAGAGCUGCUGAGGUCCAGCUCGCUGCUUCGCAGGCGGAGGUGGAGCGGCUGAAAAAGGAGCUUUAUGAGGUGGAAUGCCAGGUGGCUGUGGUGACUCGGCGGCUUGACCACGCUAAUGAGCACCACAAGCUUGCCACCGAUGCCCUGGAGGCAUCCAACAGAGAAAAAGCUGAGCUGAAGCAGCAAGCAGAGGCCCAGUCGGCGGAGAUGGCCUCUUUGAGGGAGGAGUUAAAGUCUGCGGGGGAGGUGGCGGUUCAAAAUUUUAUUGAUCACUUCGAGGACCACCCCCUUUAUGACGACUUUGCCAACUUCUGGGCCUCGUGGAGUGCCCAAAGCCUAUUGGGUCGGCUGAAGGAGGUGCACCCCACACUGGACAUCUCUCAACUAGAGGCAGAGUUCGGGGGACCUACUGGAGGUCGGCCUGACAAGGUUACCGAUGAAGUUCCAGAGGCCCAGGAGGCGGCCAGUGCUGAAGUUCCUCGCACAGAUUAGGGUUUCCUUUGUAAUGGCUUCGGCCCCCAUGUACUUCAAUUUCAUGAAAUGGAAAUAAAACAAUUUAAAGAAAUAAGUUCUUUCGCUUCUGCUUCUUUGUAUCUCUUUUUGUUUUAUACUUGUAUGAAUGACAAACAUUAGGCCAACUGCCUCGUGACAAUGACCAGUUAACAAUUGUGAAUCGGUCUCCUUAAGCGAACACAAGUCUAAACACUUAAGUGGGUAGGAAGUGACCCCUUACCUUAACUUCUUAAUAAUCUGAGGCCAGACCAAUUAGGAAAAUGCGAGGAAACGUUUGUUCAUCAGCUAAUAAGUGACGAUCGAAUCACUCAAAUGAACAUUUUGAAGAACUGAGGAAACCAUUCCCUGGCUGAUCCGGUUUGGAACUGAAAAUUCAUUACUGAAGAUAAGUUACACCCCUUUACAAAGGUGAUUCCAUCACUUAAUAAUCUUUACAACCAACGUCGGAUCAGGACAACUGAUUUAGCUAUGACAACCUAGGAUCAAAUCGGAACAUUCUUGUUACUGGUAAUAUUUUCUCAAGUGCUCGAUGUUCCACUUGUGAGGUAACACCCUUCCUGACAUAUCUUCGACCUCGAAAGUACCAGGUCGGGAUUCUCCCAGAAUGCGGUACGGGCCUUCCCAGUUUGGGCUAAAAACUCCUGACCCGGUUGGUUUCGAAGAUUGGAACACUCUUUUGAGAACAAGGUCGCCCAUGCGGAGAGUUCUGUUUCUGACCUUGGAGUUGUAAAAGCGGGUCAUCUUACGAUGGUAUUUCGCUAAGGUUAUCUGGGAAGCGUCUCUCUUUUCCUCAAGGAGGUGUAGUUCACUAAUGCGCGCCUCAUCGUUGCUGAUCUCAUUGAAAUGUAUCCGUCGAUGUGAUGGGACACCGACCUCGAUCGGACUCAUCGCUUCAGCUCCGUAGGUCAUUGAGAAUGGGGUCUCGCCCGUUGCGGUCCGGCAAGUCGUUCUGAUGGCCCAGAGGACGUGGGGGAGUUCGUCAACCCAGGCGCCUUUUGAGGCAUCCAGUUUCCUUUUCAGGGUGUGCUUGAUAGUCUUGUUCACUGCUUCGACCUGUCCAUUUGCCUGAGGGUGAUGCGGAGUCGAGAAGUCUUUCUUUAUGCCUAGUUCGUCGCAUAACUCUCGCAUCUUCCUGUUGUCGAACUGCCGCCCAUUAUCAGAGACAAUGGAGUGAGGGAUGCCGAACCUGCAGAUGACGUUUUUCCAAACGAACUUCGUAGUGUUGGCCUCGGUGAUUCGGGCAAGGGGUUCUGCCUCGACCCACUUAGUGAAGUAGUCGAUGGCGACAAUGGCAAAAGUUGCGCUUCCUCUACCCUUUGGUAGCGGACCAAUGAAGUCGAUGCCCCACUUGGCGAAUGGCCAAGGGCUGGUCACUAUGGAGAGGCUCUGCGCAGGCAGUCUUUGCACGUUCGAGAAGCACUGGCAUUUGUCACAUUUCUGGACAAAUUGGCAACCAUCCCUUUUCAGGGUUGGCCAGAAGUAGCCCUGACGGAGAACCUUGUGUGCCAGAGCCGUCCCUCCGGAGUGAUUUUCGCAGAUUCCUUCAUGUAUUUCUCUGAGUACGUAGGUGGCCUCUUCGCCGCCCACACAUCGAAGAAGGGGAGAGGCAAAGCCUCUCUUGUAAAGGGUUCCUUCUUGAAGGACGAAGUGUGCAGCCCUUCUUCUUAAUUUCCUUGCUUCACUUCUGGAAGCAGGCAGCGUUUGCUCUUUUAGAUAUGCCAUUAUGGGCUGCAUCCACAAUGGGGCGCCUUCUAUCCACAGUAACUCUUCACCUUCGAAGGUGGAGGGCUUUGAUAAGUGCUCAAUGGGGACGAUGUUCAGAAGCUCUGAGUUCACGCUGCUGGCCAAUUUUGAGAGGGCAUCUGCAUGGGCAUUCUCCAGACGGGGGACUUGAGUCAGUUCGAACUUUUCGAAAUGGGGAAUUAUGUCCAGAACCAGCUUCAAGUAUGCGAGCAUGUUAUCAUCUUUGGCCGCGAAAUCCCCAUUUACUUGAUUCACCACGAGCUGAGAAUCACUGCUUGCCAGAAGCUUCCUGACCUGCAUUUCCUUGGCGAGCCUUAGUCCUGCCAGAAGGGCCUCAUAUUCGGCUACGUUGUUCGAGGCUCUGAAGCCGAAUCUUACCGCACAAUUCAACAAAUGACCUUCCGGGCUUUCCAGUACGAUUCCCGCCCCUGCGCCUGCCUCUCCUGAAGACCCAUCUACAAACAAUUUCCAUGCGGGGGGCUCGGCUGGCUCCAUCAGGGCCUCCAUUUCUGGGGCUUUGGUAAAUUCGACCAUAAAAUCGGCAAGGGCCUGGCCCUUGAUAGCGUGUCUAGGUCGGAACGUGAGAUCGAACUCGCUGAGCUCGAUAGCCCAUUUCAGUAGGCGUCCUGACGCGUCCGUCUUCUGCAUUACUUGCCUUAAAGGGAAAUUGGUGAGGACUUGUAUUGAGUGAGCUUGGAAAUAUGGCCUGAGUUUUCUUGAAGCUGUAAUAAGUGCGAGUGCCAGUUUUUCCAUGUCGGAGUAGCGUGUUUCAGCUGGGAGAAGUGCUUUGCUGAUGUAAUAUACCGGCAAUUGACGCUCAUUUUCUUCCCUGGUUAGAACCGCGCUGACUGCCACGUCUGACACUGCUAGAUACAGCAACAGAGAUUCAUCUGGAUGGGGUUUCGAUAGGAGGGGCGAUUCACCGAGGUGCUUCUUCAGAGACUCGAAGGCCUCUUGGCACUCCGAAGUCCACUGGAAUCUCUUUCCUUGCUUCAAUACUUUG